AUUUCUCAGCUUCACUCGACCCGAUUUUAUAUUAACAUAUUGUAGUAUACUCCUAUGCUACAGCCAAUGACACAGUUUUUUAAAGUUAAUAGGAAUUUUUCAAAAUAUCACCAUGGCAACCCAAACACCACCCCCGCGCGGCCAUAGGUCGCCAUCUUCAUUCUGUGUUUCUGUGUUCAAAGCCUAGACACGCUAAUUCAAAUAAAAAUAAUUUUAAUCGUGGAAAUCUUAGAAUUUACAAAAUUUAAAUAAAAUUAUUUAGUUAGUCAUGCCAAAAGGCAAACGUAAACGUAAAAGUAAUGAAAAAUAUGCAGAUAUUAGGAAAAAAUUACGGAAAAUCGAGGCAAGACUCGAUAGGUCAACGCGGCGUCGAACCGUAUCUUCAGGGCCGAUGAUGUUAGAAGAAAAACAUCAUUAUUCAGGGAGUAAGUCGUCAGAUUUCUUAAGAAGUAAUAAUAAUCCUAAUAAUAAUCGAUUAAUCUCGAAAACCCUGCCUUGGAAAACGGGGCUGAAGUCUGAAACAGAGAAGCCUCGCCGCAGCCAGGGUCAUCGUGUAGCGCUGAACAGCUCUCAACAGCGGGGGAUAUCCGACCAGCCAGCACCGAGAACUUACAAGUACCCGAGACAGUACCUCUAAAAUUAUUUAGUUAGAUUGCAGCGCUAUAUUAAAUGUUGGAGUGAUAUUACAGAUGAUCCCAUCAUUUCAUCGUGGUUACAUGGAUAUGAAAUUCCUUUUACUUCAUUUCCAAUUCGUAUUCGGAAUAAUACUUCAGACUUUGUUAAUCAAUCUAAUGUCUGUUAGAUAUAAUUGCUAUAUCUAUAUCUAUAUAAAUCUGUCAAUCUAAUGUCUGUUAUAUAUUAAUGCAAAAUCUAGAUGCACGCACACAUUAAUGGCGAAUUUAUUUUAAACAUAUUUUUAGUUCCGAAACCAAAUGGCGAUAAAAGAUUACUUUUGCAAUAGAUUUGUUAUCACAUUUUUAAAAUGGAGGAUUAUAGAAAUAUCUCCAAGCUUAUUACACACAACUAUUAUAUGGCAAAAAUUGAUAUAUGAAGCAUGCCUAUUUUUUUUUUUUUCUAAUUCAUUAGAAAGACUUGGGACUUACAACUCACUACUUGUAAUUUUUUAGGUUUUAUGUUCGAUGCGAUAGAAAUAACUAUAAAGUUACCUAUUAAAAAAAAAAAAAAAAAGAGAUUAAAGAAUCAUUAAUAAAAUACAUUAAUCAGAAUAAGUGUAAAUACUAUCAAUCUUGAAAUGAAAGUAGCUUGCUUUGGUCUGAAAGUUUGUGCUAAAAAGCUUAAAUAGUAACGAAGUAUUACUGCGAAUUGAUAAUGUUCCUGCUAUAUCAUACAUCUGAAUGAAAUUGCUAGAGAGAUGGCAAGAUGGCAGUAGUGUGAAACAAGAAAUAUAACAGUGAUUGUCUCGUAUACUAUAAUAGUUUCCCUUGUAUGCUAAAGAUAAUCUUGAAGCCUAUUCUAUAAGGCAUAGGGACAUAGGAACUUUGUGAAUAUGUUUCUUAUGUUUCUUUUAAAAAUAGUUUAUAUUUUCGGUAAAUCAGAGAUAGACCUCUUUACUUGAUGUAAUGUAUGUGCCACUUCUCGUUACAUUUAUCGAAAAACGUUCUCAAUGCAUGGCUGUCAAUGCCUUUACUGUUUCAUGGUUUCAUUUAUCAUUUUAUGCAUUCCCUCCGUUCUCCUUCAUUUUGAAAAUGUUACAAAAAAUAAUAUGCGAUAAAGCAGAAGGCAAAGUAUUUGUGCCCUAUUGGCCAACUCAAGCGUGGUAACCUAUCCUUAAAAAAAAAAAAAAAAAUACAGUAAAAGAUCCUAUUUAUUUUGGUCCACGUAUUAGUUUAUUUGAAAUUUCUUCUAGGGUUAUCCUGGUUGCUGUGACAUAUUCUGGCAAGCUUUAUUAAAUGUUACCUAAUUCAGUCGAGAUUAUGUGAGCUUCUUUAACUAUUAACACGUAUCAACGAUGGGUGUUUUAAGGAAUGGCUGGAUUAUUGUAAAAAAAAAAAAAAACAAAUUAAUUAUUUAGAUCCUUCUAUUCCAUUAACAUUUCAAAAUUGUACCAAAUAUGGCACAGUUAAUAGUUACAAAUCAGCUUUAUUGUUGUUCAUAGGUUUUCAAUCUGUUAAUGACAGAAUGAAACGGUUUAUAAAAGGUGUUUUCAGAUUAAGACCACAAAGGUCCUAGGUAUAAUCUGACUUGGCCCAUCAUCCCAGCAUCGUGCUUAAUUAUUUAUCUGAUUUUUGGCCUGGGAACACUUAAAAAAAAAAAAAAAAAAGUCUUCUACUUUGCUAACCUUAGUCACCGCACUUCGAGUACAAACUUUAGCUCUUAUUUAAUUAACUAACAUGAAAAUAUUUGAGAAUAUUGAAAUAAUUAUAAAAAUUCCAGAUUUGAUAAAAACUUCAAAUAUAAAAUAAUUUCAACCUUUAUUAAAACUACCGUUUUUUCAAUGAAAAACCUGAAAUUUGUCCCGCUAAAGAUAUGAAAUCAUAUACACAAAAAACUAGAUUAUUACGCACAAAAAAUUAAGACUGGUUGUUUCAUAGUAUCAAAAAUCAUCAUCAGAAUAUUUUAUCCCAAAGGCUUAGCCAUUGGAUAAAAGACACAAUUCAAAACAGUGGUGAAGAUACGUCAAUAUUCUCUGCACAUAGUAGGUACUCGACAUGCGAUCAUUUCAGCAGCUAAUAGACUUGGGGUUAAUUUUGAUAUAAUUAGGAAGACAGCGGGAUGGACUCUGACAUCCUCAGUCUUUGCAAAAAAUUUAUAAUCGAGAAGUUAUAUCCGAUCAUAAACAAUUUGCGUUGUCUAUAUUAUAUAACAACAAUAAUAUGAAUGGUUCAUAAUAUACUCUGAUUGUUAUACUCAUGUAAUCCUAACGGAAAUGAUUAAGAAUUAAAAUUCUACAUAUGUA